GCCCCCAUCGUCUAGAGGCCCAGGACGGCACCCUUUCACGGUGUUGACAGGGGUUCGAAUCCCCUUGGGGGUA
rnacentral:tRNA from 1 species